rnacentral:tRNA from 1 species
GGGUCUUUAGCUCAGCUGGUAGAGCAGCGGACUUUUAAUCCGUUGGUCGCGGGUUCGAAUCCCGCAGGACCCACCA